CACAAACAGAUCAGCCAUUACACUUCAACUCACACUCACCACAAACACCUUCAUGAACUCACAUCUACAUUAAACACAUACCAUAUGAGAUGUGGGACGCAGGUCUUGGUCCAAAAACCCUGAGUCUGGUUUAUCUCUGACCCGCUGGUCCACAUCAGACUCUUCUCCAUCAUAGAACCAUGUCUCAAACUCUGCUGUUUUCAGUGUUUGUCGUGUGACUGAUGUGGAUUCAGCAGAAUGGAUCAGUGUGGGGACAGAGAGGAGGGAGCCCCUCCCCCAAAGACCACCAACAGGAUCCCCCCGGGACCUGGACUGGACAGACCCCCUAAAGCUCAGAGACCUGGACCAGGACCUGGAAAAGGACCCAGCUGUGUGUCCAUGAAGAGUACUGACUCCAAACACUGGCCAAUUUACUUCCAACAGGAUGGUUCAUCAGAGCCAGCAUAGGAUCCAUUAGAGACCACAGUCCUCUGGACCUGAUCCUGGACCCAGUUGUGUGUCCUUCAGGAGUGACCGGUCCAUGAUUUUACCACCGGCCUUUUCCACAGAGACGUAAGUUUGAUGUAAAUGUUCAAUGUGUCGACUGUUUAUUA
rnacentral:lncRNA from 1 species